GUACAAUAAGCUAAAUAAGGGCGUAUGGGGAAUGCCUAGGCUCUCAGAGACGAAGAAGGACGUGAUAAGCUGCGAAAAGCUGCGGGGAUUGGCACAUACAAAUUGAUCCGCAGAUAUCCGAAUGGGGCAACCCACUAUACUGAAGGUAUAGUAUCCUGUAAGGGAGGUAAACCCGGAGAACUGAAACAUCUAAGUACCCGGAGGAAGAGAAAACAAAAGUGAUUCCGAUAGUAGCGGCGAGCGAACUCGGAUUAGCCCAAACCGGUUCUGUUACGGCAGGAUCGGGGUUGUAGGACCACAAUAUUUUAUGCGUAAUGAAUUAGAACACGUUGGAAAGCGUGGCCAUAGACGGUGAUAGCCCGGUAUAGGUAAAGAGCGUUAUAGAUAGUGGUAUCCUGAGUAGUGCGGGGCACGUGAAACCCUGUAUGAAUCUGGCGGGACCAUCCGCUAAGGCUAAAUACUCCUGAGAGACCGAUAGUGAACCAGUACCGUGAGGGAAAGGUGAAAAGAACCCUGAACAAGGGAGUGAAAUAGACCCUGAAACCAUACGCUUACAAGCGGUCGGAGCGCAUUUAUGUGUGACGGCGUGCCUUUUGCAUAAUGAGCCUACGAGUUACUUUAUCUAGCAAGGUUAAGAUGUUCAGCAUCGGAUCCGUAGCGAAAGCGAGUCUUAAUAGGGCGUAUAGUUAGGUUGAGUAGACGCGAAACCGUGUGAUCUACCCUUGGGCAGGUUGAAGCUGUGGUAACACAUAGUGGAGGACCGAACCCGUUGACGUUGAAAAGUCUUGGGAUGACCUGAGGGUAGGGGUGAAAGGCCAAUCAAACUCGGAAAUAGCUCGUACUCCCCGAAAUGCAUUUAGGUGCAGCGUUGAUUUAUAGUUUUAUAGAGGUAGAGCUACUGAUUGGAUGCGGGGGCUUCACCGCCUACCAAUUCCUGACAAACUCCGAAUGCUAUAAAAUGUUGAUCAGCAGUGAGGGCAUGGGUGCUAAGGUCCAUGUCCGAGAGGGAAAGAACCCAGACCAUCAGCUAAGGUCCCCAAAUGUAUGUUAAGUUGAAAAAACGCGGUUGGACUGCCCAGACAGCUAGGAUGUUGGCUUGGAAGCAGCCAUUCAUUUAAAGAGUGCGUAACAGCUCACUAGUCGAGCGGUCCGGCAUGGAUAAUAAUCGGGCAUAAACAUACUACCGAAGCUAUGG
rnacentral:sRNA from 1 species